GCCACAUUUCCAACUCUUUCUCGAUUUCAACUUCUCUUACUUUCCAAAUUGUAGUAUACCUUUCAUUAGUUCCACCUUUAGAACAGCUUUAUGUCCAACCUCAAACGUCAACUCCUUCCCUUUCUUGUCGGCAUAACUUUUUCAGACGGUUAUGUACUAUCUUAGUUUUCAUUCCAAUCUUUUCAACAGCGUCAACUAUUUUCUUAACGAGUUUAGGACCUAGCAUCUUCCUUUUACCCACUUCAUCCCAGUAUAUUGGCUAACGACCUCACCUACCAUAUAAGGCCUCAUAUGGUGCCCAUAAUAACUUGAAAACUGUUAUUGUAGGCAAGUUAUACCAACGGCAAGUGAAUUUUCCAAUUUCAACCCCAAUCUAAGAUACAAUCUCUUAACGUAACUUCAAAAAUAUUGGUAGUGUAUUCCGCUUGCCCAUCAGUCUGAGGAUGGAAAGGAUGGGCCUAUAUUAUUUUGACCCUGAGUUUAGGCUUUAGAGUUAACGCAGCUAUCAUCGUCUUUGUUCAAGUUGAAGGCGUUAGUACCUCAAUUUCCAAAUUUUCAAGGUCUUUAGUUAACUGUUCUUGAUCACUUCUGAAAACUAGUAGUUGACCCACCUUCUUUUUACUUAGUGUGUGUGCGACUCACUAGUUUUACAAGAAUGGUAAUGGAUAGUACAAUCAUAAUCCUUCAUUGGCUCUAGCCAUCGUAUUUGUCUCAUAUAUUAUUAUUUGAGUGAUGAAGUAUUUAACUUCUUAUAGUCGGUGUCAAUUUCACUCUUGCUUCCGUAUAAGUAGUGAUGCCAAAUUUUAAGAGCAUGAACUAUUGCUGUGAGUUUUAAAUGAUGCAUCCGAUGGUUUUGUUCAUAUUGCUUCAACUGUUUCGAUGCAUAUGCUAUCACUUUCCUGUUUUGCAAAAAAUCCCCUAUCCUAACUUGAAUGCAUUACUCACCCGUCUGAACCUUCUAGUAUGGUCGACAGUGGGGUAGAAACUAGUUUAUCCUUUAACUCUUGAAAGCUUUUCUCUUACUUUUCUGACCAAAUGAACUUUCUUCUGCAGCAAUUGCUUCGAAGGCCCUAAAAUUUUAGGGAAACCUUCUAUGAAAUACCGAUAGUAGCCUCUUAAACCUAAAAGGCUCCUCACAUCUCCAACAUUAGUAGAUAUCGAAUAAUUAUUCAAAACAUCGACCUUGGUUGGGUCCACUUCAGUCCCAUGGGCAGUCAAUAAAUGACAUACGAAUCCCACAUGAUCAAGUCAAAAUUCACACUUUUGAAUUUGACGUAAAAGUUUUGUUUACGUGAAGUCUCUAACACUAUCCUCAGAUAUUUUUCGUGCUAUUAAAAUACUCGGUUCAUCAAGUCCUUAACAACUGCAUAAGCUUUGUUUCAUUUUCUAACGUGCCAGUAAGGUUAAAAAGAUAUCCCUGGCAAGACUCAUUCUUUAGCAACUUCUUCGCAUAGUUGAAA
rnacentral:lncRNA from 1 species